rnacentral:rRNA from 1 species
GAUGAACGCUGGCGGCGUGCCUAAUACAUGCAAGUCGAGCGAACAGACGAGGAGCUUGCUCCUUUGACGUUAGCGGCGGACGGGUGAGUAACACGUGGAUAACCUCCCUAUAAGACUGGGAUAACUUCGGGAAACCGGAGCUAAUACCGGAUAACAUGUUGAACCGCAUGGUUCAACAGUGAAAGACGGCCUUGCUGUCACUACUCGAUGGAUCCGCGCCGCAUUAGCUAGUUGGUAAGGUAACGGCUUACCAAGGCAACUAUGCGUAGCCGACCUGAGAGGGGGAUCGGCCACACGGGAACUGAGACACGGUCCAGACUCCUAAGGGAGGCAGCAGUAGGGAAUCGUCCGCAAUAGGCGAAAGCCUGACGGAGCAACGCCGCGUGAGUGAAGAAGGUCUUCGGAUCGUAAAACUCUGUUAUUAGGGAAGAACAAAUGUGUAAGUAACUAUGCACGUCUUGACGGUACCUAAUCAGAAAGCCACGGCUAACUACGUG